rfam:Sorghum bicolor cultivar BTx623 chromosome 7, whole genome shotgun sequence.
AUUCCAUGAUGGGGACAUUCUAGGAUGUAGUCUUGAAAGCGCUCCCAUGCUUCUGGAACAGAUUCAUCAUUUUGUUGCUGAAAUCUUGUAAUCUUCCCACGGAGAGC